UGCAACCAAUCUUCAGAACUAUUUCAUCUCACAAAACUGAAGGUGAACAGAUUUGCCUUUGACGGCCCAGUGAGCUACUCUUUAAGAUGAGAACAACAAUAUUUUAUCCUGUCAUGGAAGGCAGGGGACUGGACUAGUUAAUUUCUUGUACCCAUCAGUUCUGGGAUCAUAAAAUCCUAUGAAUUAGAGAAAACCAACUGUAUGCUGGUGCCAGACUCUUGAACAUGAAGCAAGUAUGCAACAGACCAAUGUUUCAGCAUGUGCCUGCCCACAUGACAAACUGUUGUUUAUAGAGCACCAACUAUGCACACAAUAAUGAUGAUGACAAGUCAUUUUUGAGUGUUUACUCCUCACAACAGCCCCAUGAACUAGUUUGUAUCAUUAUCCCCACUUAAAAAAUAUAGAAACGGAGGCACAGGGAAGCCAAGUCAUUUGUCCACAGCACAAAAUCAAUAAGCAGCAGAGAUGACUUUGAACAGAGACCAUCUGUUGAAACUGACUGCAAAGAGGCACAGGGAAUUUUGAGGGGUGAUGGAAAUGUUUUUUUAUUAUAAAAUUAAAUGUCAAAGGUGGAGAACUGUUUCCCAGAGAGCAGUUUCGAAACUAUUUGUAGCUAAGUUUAAUUUGUUAUAUUUUAUUUUUAUUAUAAAUUUUUUUUUUUUUGAGAGAUGAGGCCUCACUGUGUUGCCCAGGCUGGAGUGCAGUGGCAUGAUCGUAGCUUACUGCGGCCUCAAACUCCUGGGCUCAAGC
rnacentral:lncRNA from 1 species